rnacentral:tRNA from 1 species
UUUGGAGUGGCACAAUGGAAGCGCAUCUGCCCUACACGCAGAGGGUUACAGGUUCGAAUCCUGUCUCCGGAC